rnacentral:rRNA from 1 species
AUUGAACGCUGGCGGCAGGCUUAACACAUGCAAGUCGAGCGGGGGAAGGUAGCUUGCCACCGGACCUAGCGGCGGACGGGUGAGUAAUGCUUAGGAAUCUGCCUAUUAGUGGGGGACAACAUCUCGAAAGGGAUGCUAAUACCGCAUACGUCCUACGGGAGAAAGCAGGGGAUCUUCGGACCUUGCGCUAAUAGAUGAGCCUAAGUCGGAUUAGCUAGUUGGUGGGGUAAAGGCCUACCAAGGCGACGAUCUGUAGCGGGUCUGAGAGGACGAUCCGCCACACUGGGACUGGAACACGGCCCAGACUCCUACGGGAGGCAGCAGUGGGGAAUAUUGGACAAUGGGGGGAACCCUGAUCCAGCCAUGCCGCGUGUGUGAAGAAGGCCUUAUGGUUGUAAAGCACUUUAAGCGAGGAGGAGGCUACUUUAGUUAAUACCUAGAGAUAGUGGACGUUACUCGCAGAAUAAGCACCGGCUAACUCUGUGCCAGCCGCCGCGGUAA